GACGUAGGGGGCGAGCGUUGUCCGGAAUCAUUGGGCGUAAAGAGCACGUAGGCGGCCUGUUUAGUCGGGUGUGAAAACCCGCAGCUCAACUGCGGGACUGCAUUCGAAACUGGCGGGCUAGAGUCCAGUAGAGGAAAGUGGAAUUCCCAGUGUAGCGGUGAAAUGCGCAGAUAUUGGGAAGAACACCGGUGGCGAAGGCGGCUUUCUGGGCUGAGACUGACGCUGAGGUGCGAAAGCUAGGGGAGCAAACAGG
rnacentral:rRNA from 1 species